CAGCCGUAAACUAUGCGCGUUAGGUGUAUCGGUGACCACGAGUUACCGAGGUGCCGAAGGGAAACCGUGAAACGUGCCGCCUGGGAAGUACGGUCGCAAGGCUGAAACUUAAAGGAAUUGGCGGGGGAGCACAACAACGGGUGGAGCCUGCGGUUUAAUUGGGCUCAACGCCGGACAACUCACCGGGACGACAGCAAUAUGUAGGCCAGGCUGAAGACCUUGCCUGAAUCGCUGAGAGGAGGUGCAUGGCGUAGACGUCU
rnacentral:rRNA from 1 species